CCUACGGGAGGCAGCAGUAGGGAAUUUUCGUCAAUGGGCGCAAGCCUGAACGAGCAAUGCCGCGUGAACGAGGAAGGUCUUCGGAUCGUAAAGUUCUGUUGAAGGGGAAAAAGAGCGGAGAGAGGAAAUGAACUCCGAUUGAUAUUACCCUUCGAGGAAGUCACGUCUAACUACGUGCCAGCAGCCGCGGUAAUACGUAGGUGGCGAGCGUUAUCCGGAAUGAUUGGGCGGAAAGGGUGUGUAGGCGGCCUGCUAAGUCUGGAGUGAAAGGUACCGGCUCAACCGGUACAGGCUCUGGAAACUGGCGGGUUAGGGGGGAGGAGAGGGCAGUGGAAGUCCAUGGGUAACGGUAGAAUGGGU
rnacentral:rRNA from 1 species